GGGACGUCUAACGCGAAAAUAAAAAAUCAGGGGACCACCGGACUAGAGUGUAUAUCUACACGGCGCGCGGUCAAACGGGGUAGAGUCAACUUCACUAGGUUUAUUAGAAUUGAACUGCACAAAAACCUAAUGAUUACAAUAUGAUUGACUUAACUCUAGUUAAGAGUUCUAGGGAGCUAAGGGAGGCAAGGGAGAUAAGAGAGAUAAGGGAGAUAGGGGAGACAAAGGAGCUGAAGACGAGCGUCGGAAUACGCGAUUAGCGUGCAUACAUAGUGUUAACGAGAGGGUGUCGUCGAACAAGCCGACGUGCGAAAGCGUAACAGCCGGGGCCGGAAUGAGGGCCGCGUGGUCCCCGGAGUGAGUUUAAAAAAAAAAGACGAAAAAUUAAAAAUUAAAACACGCAGGUAUAUUUAUGAUUGACGCGCGAAAAAACUCCUCUUUUCCUGAACGGCGAAUACGCCGAUCUCGCGAGGGGGAAACUUCGAAAAAUGGAAUUUUCCGGGUGCGAGUCUCCGGACCCCGGCCGCUCGGACUACCUAGUGUUCGAAAUGACGGAGAUUUUGGAAAAAUAUUAGAAAAAACGGUUCUUUCCAUUGGUCCGUGAAAAAUAGCUCAAAUAAAGUAAUAAUUGAUAAUAAAUAAAGAAAUAUACGAAACAUGAGGUGUGUUUUACCGAUUAACCUGGCCAUGUUCAUUAUCAGUUAUGGUCGUGUGAUUCAUUGGUUAACGGUUAUAGACCCGCGAAAAAUACACGUAUAAUGGUUACUACAAAUAAUAUCAAUUGAUAAUAAAAAAAAAAAAAAAAAAAAAAAAAAAAAAACAAAGUACUGGCUAGUUAUAUAACCGUUACUUUAUCAAUAACCAAACGUCAUGGCCGUUAAUUUUGUUUGGUUACGACAUUUCAGUAAUAGUUAAAUAACUAAAGACGUAAUAACCGAAAUCGCCAAAACGACUCGUUUUUAAAUUAUACUGCAGCAACUUUCAAGUGACAUUCGGUCAGUCGUCAAAACACGCCUGUGGAAAUGUAUUACAAAUAAACGUCCGCGAUGAUAGUGGUACCGUCCAAGUGAUAACAUAAUGAUCAAUCAUUUUAUGACGUAUGUAUUGCAAUCGGACGUUCGCUACAGUUUCAUUGCCGUUGAACGGCGGAGGACGGGAUAGUGCGUGUCAUUAUUUAAAAUUCGAAAAAGGCGGUUUAUAAGCAAGUAAGUUGUUCGCACAGUUAAAAUUACGAUAGAUUAUGCGUUGCUGUGUAAACGUUUCCACCCACUCAAUUUUCCCUAGUUUUCCCCCGCGCCGAUUUUUUCGGAAAUUUUCAAUCUCUAGGACUACCCCGUGAAUUCCGGCCGGGUGUUUUUCGAUCCCGGCGUUUCGACAUGAUAAUCUCGCGCGUGUACGAUUUCGAUAAAAGCGCGCCCCCCCCCCCCCGAGACGCCGUGAACGAAAACGCCCGCGGAAUCGCGUCCACGCCGCGGCGUAUUUUUCCGCCGCACACCGACCCGUCCCGGAUUUUCCGCGGCGGCGACGGAUGCUGCGCCGCCGCGGGGUCUCCUCUCGCCCGACAAAUAUCAAUGUAAUAAAGCUGCGACGCCCGCGGACCGCGAAAAUUAAUAACCAUACGUCCCGCCGAACAUCCGCCCCCUCCCAGUGGCGCGUUUACGGGCCGGGGACGGGGAGUGCCGGGGGUUUACAACUCCCUCCCCCCAGGGAUUAUUUUUUCGUACCGAAACAGUCGUUUCAAAAACGCAAUGCCAAUUUCGCAUAACUCAUUUCAUGAGCGAUUUAUUUAUUGAUAGGAAACGGAUACACGGGGCGCGAGGCGGCCGUCUGUGCCAACUGAUGUAACAUCAGUUUCCUCGGAGACGUCAAACACUCCUGUUGCACCAGACGUUAACAAUAUUAAUGUAAAAGGCGCAGCUUGGUUUACACCAGUUGAAUUAAAUGAAAUUUUAACUAAUCUUUGGAAACCCGAUUUAAAUUUUGUAUUCCCUGUUAACAAAAGUUAAUGCUAGACAAGUAGAUUUUAAUUUAAUUGGCCUUGGUUAGCUUACUCGGCAGAGGAAUGUGGUGGUGCUUUUUGUAAAGUAUGUGUUGCUUUUGAAAAAUCUGCUGCUGGUAUUGAUAACUGAAGUCUCGGGGCUUUAGUAAAAUGCAAAUUUGAUAAUCGGAAGCGUGCAUUUGAAACAUUUAAUAAGCAUACACCAUUACAAUACCAAGUGUAAUAUGGAUGCCGAUAACUUUAUAAAAUGUAUUUAUUGUCCAGUGGCGUGCCCAGAAAUGUUCAACAGGAGAGAAUGUAACAGAUAAAAAUCGUGAACAAAGGGUAAAAUCGUCUUCUCUAUCCGACUCGACUGUGGGAAAUGACUGUGGAAAGCCGGAUCCUAAAACAAGCAAAUUUCUAAUCACUACGCAUCGAGCUUUUCCUCGUAAACUGGUUGAUAUUUUCGCAUUUUGAUAUUACAUUUCUCAUAUUUUUUAUUGCAAUUUUAUGCCAAUGAGAGGGGGUACAUGACCCCUAACCUGCCCCUCCUCUGUUCACGCCACUUACCCUGCCUAACUCAACCUAAUUCACCUAGGGCCCUAUCCACUAGACUGCAUUGUACGUUAUUACACCGUGUUCGAUUAGGUUUAUCGAAACGCCAAAACUCCGCGCACAAUCGUUUUCGGUAUAUUUUGGCUGCAGUUCGAUUAUAACGAAAACGGUUACUAUGCCGGCCGUCGCGGUAAUUUACAGUGUUGGCCAGUUAUAUAAACAAAUACGUUCGAUAUAGGUGAUUACGAGUACCUGGGUGUAUUGAGUUGUUUAUUUCGUAAAAGUAUUUCGCCGUCGGUAUACGAUUAAAAACGUUAGUCUUCGCGUAGUCGUUCAAAUGUUUACGUUUUUUAUUUUCUCAACUCGGUUUACCGGUCGACAAGUUAAUAUUUUGCAGAAUUCGUGCGCGCUCGUCAUCGUUACUAGUUACAACCGGCGAUUUUCAACGGAUCAUAAGCCGAUUAUUAUACCGUUCAGACACACCGAUAAUAAACGCACGGACGGACAGAACGAGCCUGUAGCCGCUCUUUAAGUAUAGUAUUAACAAAACUGACAAUUAGCUGUGCAUUGUACAUUGGUAAGUAUAAAAUUAUAAUACUCGAAAAUGAUAAUUAUUUAUAAUAGGCAUAAACUCCGCGGGCAAAUAUACAUCAAUACGUCUCAUUUUAGCACGGGGGGAAGGUUCGUCGACAAUUAAUUAUUUUAAUUCGUAUUUAAUAUCCAGAUCGUGAUCGUUUACGGAAUAUUCGGAUCGUAUGGUAUCAUGGUUACUAUUGUGGAAUUCAUUUUUAAAUAAUAUUAUAUUAACAGGUGAUACGUAUAUACCCAACUGAGAUACAUAGGUAGUGUCUGGUAUACGGAGUUCGUGAAUAUUAUUCAAUGUUUGAUUAAUAUAAUAGACAUUUAUACAAUUCAAAAUAUAAUUCAAUUAAGUAAAAGUAACAUAGUAGAUGGGUUUGUUUAACAUAAUUUUGGUUUGAAUCAGUUUUAAGAUUAUUGCC